UGGACCUCGGGGCAGAUUUGUGUCGUCAUUGAAGAUCUGUGUGAAGACUCCUGAGUACACUGAGGCUUCUCUGAUAUCGAUGCCACACUCUGUCAGGUCCUCUUCAUAGAAGAUCAGGUUCCCUUUCUGCAGCUGCUCAAAAGCCAGUUUUCCCAA